CCACUAUUCUCUCUAUGUUCUUCACACACUAACUAGAAUGUCGUGGUUUACAAACUAGGAAGUCACUGCCUUCUGUCUGAUGAAAAAUUCUGGAGAGCUGGGGUCAGAAAAAAAGAAAAGUCGUAAGCGGAUCCCCCAAACAGAAUGCCCCAGGAAUUCACUUUUGUGCUUAGAAGAAGGUCAGGAAAAGUAACCAAACCCCCAGGACUGAGAACCAGUCAUUGCCCUUCAUUACAGAUCCAGGGCCCACAAGAAAAGGAGAGCUUCACCAGGAAGUAACUAGCUACAGAACAAGACACACCAUUGCAUUGAAUAAUUGGGAGGUCAACAUUUUGAGGAUCACUUGCAUUCUGGAUCAUCCAUCCCUGGCAGCAGAGUGAACUGGAUAACCUUGGGCAAGUCACUUAAUUCUCUGCCUGGUUUCAAAGCACCUACUUCACAAAUUACUGUGACAAGUAAACCAGUUUAUUCGUGUCAAGCACAUAGAAAAGCAUGUGUCACAAACUGCCUGGAGAAAACUCUGAGGGCUAAGGGGUGGACAGAGCUACAAGACCGAGAAUCUUGAAUCCCUAAAGGAUGACAUCAAAGGCCACUUGUCAACUAGACACACCCAACUGGACUCUAUUUAAAUGAGAAAUAAAAUUCAACUAUUUUAAGCCAC